rnacentral:snRNA from 1 species
AUACUUACCUAGAUGGGGUCAAUGAGUGAUCAAUAAGACCCAUGGCCUAGGCUUGUGACCUUCAUUACACUUUGAAGGGGUGCCUGCCUAAGGUCAGCCCAAGUGGUCGAGCCUACAUCAUAAUUUGUGAUAGAGGGGGCCUGCAUUCGUGUGGCCCUUG